UAUGUUUAGGUAACUAGUUGGAAUAGGUUAUCAUGUAUGAGAUGGUGCAAUGUUGGCAUAUUUUGAUAAAUGUUAUUUUGGUAUAUUGUGGUGGCUUUGAAUGGCAUAUUGGUUAGUUGGAUUAGGAUCUUGAAAUGGCAUCUUGUUGUGUUUGAAUGAGGUUUAGGUCACUUUAAAGUAUGCACAAAUGGAUUGAAUGUUUAUGAAUGGUUAGGUUAUGAAAUGGCUUGAUUUUAGGUAAAUUUUGGGUUCACGC
rnacentral:lncRNA from 1 species